CCCAUUUCCCGCGCUAACUAGAAGUCCUGUGGUUCAAUUCCCAAUGAAAGUACACUCCAUAAAAUGAGUUACCAAACCCCAAAACAGUAACCCCCUUCAAUUUUCUUCCUUCCCAAUUUUGCUUAUAACGAAUCUCACGAGACGGCAUGGUACCAGAGCACCAUGGAAGAAGACAGCUCCUCCGGAGUUCGCCUAAUCAGUUUUUCCUUCAUACUAACCCUAAUUACGACGAUGACGGCAGCCUCUUACGACGAGUCGUCGUCGACGUGUUUGACGCUUUACGAACAAGGCGGUGCUCCCGCGGUUUUUCAAUCCCCAAAAUGCCCUCGCUGAAAGCGCGCCGAUUCCCUCCAGCGUUGCCAGACCGCCGUGCGUCGAGGUCUGAGAAACCUCCUCGAGGAUCGUGCUCUCGACCUUCGCAUUCCGUUUCCUGGUGAAUUAGGGAUUAAGGAGGUUAAAGUUGGGAUUGUGGCUGUUUUUGAUGGGCAUAAUGGUGCUGAAGCAAGUGAUAUGGCUUCAAAGCUCGUCCUUUGGUGGUUAAUGUUUGUUUCCUAAUCGGUUACAAUUACUUUUCGUACCUUUAUCUGCUAAUGACUUCAAUUCAUGGGAGUUUACUGUGUUGUAGUAAUGGAUCUUGUGGAUGCUCAAGACAUGCUGGAAUGUUGCAUAUGUGAUUGAGAUACUUGAAACAGAUACAUACUUAAUUGAUAGUACGAGCUGUGUGCAUGGAAUAGUAUGUCUGCAGAGAUGUGAG